GAAUUGAAUGAUAUUAUAACAUAAACAAAAAACUAACAUAAGAUAUUAUGCAGCGAAUCAUCUAAGCCAGAAAAAAGAAAAGCAAAGCAAUUUGCAGAAACAAUAUUCGGAAACAGCAAAAACAGUCUCUUUUAAUUUCCGCAUUAAAAAAAUAAUCUUUCAAAUGUUCAUCACAAUAAUCUUUCGUAUUUCUUAAUAAUAAUAUUUUCAAUCCUUCUUUUUGAACACAGAAUACUUUGAAACAUUACCAAAAUCCAUGGAAACGAAAAUUGUGCUGACAGGCAGCUUUUUUAAAAUGGGCACGUUUCAAACAAGAUUUGAUGUAGACUGAUCAGGAAGAAUAGACAUGGCCAGAUUCAAGGGCGCGCGCAGUAUCAAAAACCUCGAACGAAGGACAGAAAAAAACUUAACUUUGGUAUUCAAUUGCGUUAGUUGGGGUUGCCCACAGUGCAUGAAAAGUUAAGUUAAAUGGUUGGAGAAUGAAGCUUUUUGACUACAUGAUAAGCUCUGAAGGUAGUUAUGAGAAGAGUUCACAUUCCCCAUAAGAAGUUUUAUACGAAGAGACGAGGGCAUACCUCAUUGAGUGACAACAGUGGUACUUCUUCAAUGCGUCAGUAGUGCGUCCUAGAACCUGCAUCAAAGAAGGGAAAAUCUCACAUUAAGGGGAAGACAUCCAUUGGACCUCUUCAUUUUAAGGAAAGGUAUAUAAGAAGAAUUGGUAAGUCAAGGCUUGUAGUGUCAACUCGAUUUAUAUUUUUGUACUUGGAAAAAAAUAGCAAGGCGGACUCUGGAGACUAUAUGCAGAAAAUUUUCAACAUUCAAAGAACGAGAUGCGAUAUAAUCUUAUAGUAAUGAAGUACGACACGACCCUAUAAGACUAGGGUAUACCUAUUUGGAACCGAUACUGAAUAUUCUCUUGGAUUUAUCAAACUCUGUAUCUUAAUUUGUACCCAUUUUACUUCUUAGAAUCGACGAAGAACCCGAAGCAUGAAAUGAAUUGUGCUUUUUUGCGCGUAGUCUUAUCAUUAACUAGGUUUCUAGAGAACGAAUCUGAUGGAUAGAGAAGCAUGUAAAAUGGAUUCGACCAGUGACUAUAUUGAUUUUAGUUUUGACUCAACAAGCUGCGUUUGUUGAUGGAAGUCUCCUAGCAAGUUGAAAAGCACCAGUUUGCCUAUUCAGUAUACUGAUUAAUAGCAUUCAUCAAAAGAUGAAAAUCUUAUAUCAUGAAAGGGGAUGAAUGUUUUGCACCAGCAAAGAGUAUUGGAUCUGCAGAAUUGAAAAAAUAUUGUGGCAGAUUAGUUCGUUGGCAGACAAUUGCUUUUAUUGGAUUCAGUUGGUUGGUCGCAGUUUCCAUGUUUGUUUUGAUAGCUCCAGCUCUGAUUUGUUUUGCAGUAAAGGGCUUUGAUAAAAGAGCCAGAACAAGCAGUGAAAUGUGGGAAGUUCUGAUGGAACAAAAAAUUUAAAGAAGAAUCAAACAUGAUUCAAUCAUACAAGGUGAAAUAACACGACGAUACAAUAACGUACAGCAAGAGACGGGAGGACAAAUUGAAGGAACUAAUGCACUUGGCCUUCCCACAAGACCAGUGGUUACACGCCUAGAUUACGUCGGCCUACCUAAAGCUGCAAAAGUGGCAGUAGAAAGUGACUAUGAAGGUCAAAGAGUGAGCAACAAUUAGAGUUGCCAAUGUACAAUUGAUUAUGAUGAACUUCUUCCCUGUUUAUAAACAGUCACGUGAAGGACAUUAAACCUGUAAGAUAUUUCUUUGCUAUAGAAUUCUCUAGUCUACCUCAUGGAAUAAUUUAUAUCGACAUUCCUAUACCAAGCCAAUUUUGUGUGCCGGGUAAGUUGUUUGUUGCUGUUGAAAUGAUAUUAGAAGCAUUCAUAUUUGGAUACUAAAAAUCAAUAAGGGGUAGUCUCUCUAUGAUUACAAAAACCAAGCAAAAGGACCGAAUGAAACCAUCGGCAUCUUUAUAAGUUAGGUCUUGUACGCUAAAACAGUACUUCUAAGAUCAUGACUGCAGGUUUGCAAGAUGGACAUCCUUUUCUCUAAUGAUGUCUUCUGGGGUCUUGCAAAACGUUCAUUUUCAAUUUUUGCAUUUGUGGCUAAAUUUGACUUGAAUUGAAACAAUAAAUUUAAGAAAGUAAUACCGAAAUGAUGAUGUCAAUAUGGAGACUUAAACUAAAAGUUGCAUAAGAUGAAUUAAAAAAUGUAUUAAAGCUGCAAAACUAUAUUGAUAAAAAGUUUUUUAACGAGGAUAGAGGUGUACCAGGCUAGAAAUUUGCAUUCCAAAAUAGUGACAUUUUAGGCAUGAUCUGGAAUGACACCACAAGCAUCGUACAUGUCGGUAUGAUGUGACUGGGGAGUGUAAGUUGGUAGAAUUUUUGGCAUUUUUGGUUGUAUUCAUUUUUAGAUUUCCCCAGGAAUUUGAAGAUACGCUACUGAAAUACUUUCGAAAAAAGCUUUUGAUCAAUCGAUUCAACAAGGCAACAUACGUCUCACCGAAAUAUCUGAAGGAAGCUUUGCUGUAUGUGAAAAGCCUUAAGGUGCAAUAGAUAACAUCCUUCUAGAAGUUAGAGAUAAACUUACCAUCUCAUAUCGUUCUAGAAUCUUUUAUAUCGACCUUUCAUGAGUGGGCAUAGUUGCCUAUCGGAAAUUACGUUCAUCGCAGCAUAAGCCAGGGCCUUUUUUAGCAUACAAGCUAGGGGGCAAUUGCCCCUCCAGCCCAAGUGACUUUCCAUUGUUUAAAACACUAGGCUAUUGUCCUUCUCUUUUUAUAAACAAAGGGUUGCCUCUGCAGCUAAUUUUCCUUAGAUGUCGGUCAAUC